rnacentral:rRNA from 1 species
CGGUAAUACGGAGGGUGCAAGCGUUAAUCGGAAUUACUGGGCGUAAAGCGUGCGUAGGUGGUUUGUUAAGUUAGAUGUGAAAGCCCUGGGCUCAACCUAGGAACUGCAUUUAAAACUGGCGAACUAGAGUAUAGGAGAGGAAAGUGGAAUUUCAGGUGUAGCGGUGAAAUGCGUAGAUAUCUGAAGGAACAUCAAUGGCGAAGGCAGCUUUCUGGACUAAUACUGACACUGAGGUACGAAAGCGUGGGUAGCAAACAGGAUUAGAUACCCUGGUAGUCCACGCCGUAAACGAUGACAACUAGCCGUUGGGAGGAUUUACCUCUUAGUGGCGAAGCUAACGCGUUAAGUUGUCCGCCUGGGGAGUACGGCCGCAAGGCUAAAACUCAAAGGAAUUGACGGGGACCCGCACAAGCGGUGGAGCAUGUGGUUUAAUUCGAUGCAACGCGAAGAACCUUACCUGGUCUUGACAUACACGGAACUUUCCAGAGAUGGAUUGGUGCCUUCGGGAACCGUGAUACAGGUGCUGCAUGGCUGUCGUCAGCUCGUGUCGUGAGAUGUUGGGUUAAGUCCCGUAACGAGCGCAACCCUUAUCCUUAUUUGCCAGCACAUCAUGGUGGGAACUAUAAGGAGACUGCCGGUGAUAAACCGGAGGAAGGCGGGGACGACGUCAAGUCAUCAUGGCCCUUACGACCAGGGCUACACACGUGCUACAAUGGGAAGGACAAAGGGUCGCAACCUCGCGAGAGCAAGCUAAUCUCAUAAACCUUUUCGUAGUCCGGAUCGGAGUCUGCAACUCGACUCCGUGAAGUCGGAAUCGCUAGUAAUCGUGGAUCAGGAUGCCACGGUGAAUACGUUCCCGGG